rnacentral:rRNA from 2 species
GCUCCUUUGACGUUAGCGGCGGACGGGUGAGUAACACGUGGGUAACCUACCUAUAAGACUGGAAUAACUCCGGGAAACCGGGGCUAAUGCCGGAUAACAUUUAGAACCGCAUGGUUCUAAAGUGAAAGAUGGUUUUGCUAUCACUUAUAGAUGGACCCGCGCCGUAUUAGCUAGUUGGUAAGGUAACGGCUUACCAAGGCAACGAUACGUAGCCGACCUGAGAGGGUGAUCGGCCACACUGGAACUGAGACACGGUCCAGACUCCUACGGGAGGCAGCAGUAGGGAAUCUUCCGCAAUGGGCGAAAGCCUGACGGAGCAACGCCGCGUGAGUGAUGAAGGUCUUCGGAUCGUAAAACUCUGUUAUUAGGGAAGAACAAAUGUGUAAGUAACUAUGCACGUCUUGACGGUACCUAAUCAGAAAGCCACGGCUAACUACGUGCCAGCAGCCGCGGUAAUACGUAGGUGGCAAGCGUUAUCCGGAAUUAUUGGGCGUAAAGCGCGCGUA